CCGCCCCCGGCCCGGGUCACUUGCCGUCGCGGUGGGCGGCCCCCGGCGAGUCCACACCCCUGCCCCGCCUCCUCCCGGUAGGAAACUCCGGGACCCUGCAAGGGAUGACUCACCCCAGUGAUUCAACCGCGCCACCGAGCGCGGAGCUGCCCUGGAGGACGCAGGCGGGUCUAGUUGCCCGGGUCCCCCAAGGCCCCCGGAUUCACCCAGGCCCGCGACUCCGACGUGCAGCUUAGGUGGGUUGCAGGUCUAUGGCAGGAAAGGGAGGGCGCCUUGGAAGAAUUCUUCCCUUCCAUUUGGUGAUAAAGUGGGAGAGGCGGCAUUUACAACAUUUAAUAGAAAGCACGGGCUCUGGGCUCCCCUCGGGCAGCGGAGGGCAUUUCCCGGAUGCUUUGCCCACCUGGGGCAGAAGCUCGGGACCUGCAGCGAAGUAAACGUGUGGCUGUGAGCAGGGCCCUCUCCCAGCCACGGUGGCUUCUUCUACCCCACGAAGGUCAAGAAUACCUGGCCUGCCCACCUCGCGGGGCCCUUAGCGGGUCGCACAGGAGAAAGGCGGUGGGAAUGCCGGUGUCAGCCACGGUGUGACCGGCUCGGCUCACAGGUCUGAGGGUCAGUUGGCUCAGGCAUCGCCCGGUACGACCAGAGAUAGUGACUGAGGAAGAGCAGCCUCACAUCUGGCAGUUUGCCUCUGGGAGAAUUCCAGCGUGACAUCUGCAGCUCUGUGGUUCCAGAAAGGAUGGUUCCCACAUUGAAGAAGACAUCUGUGGGACUGAGUUCCACCGAAAUGCAGAGGAACCAAAAAUGAAAAUGAAAAAUGUAACCAGAGUUGUGUGCCACUAGUUUUAAGCUUUGGUUUUUCUAAAUUAUUUUCUGGCUUCUCCUUCUGGGCUUUGCUGUAAACUUGCCAAGCAUGAGAACAACUCUUCAUCUAUUGAGUGGCAUUUUAAGCCAUCCUGUCAAAGUAUCUCCUGUCAUUUUUAUUAUUAUUACUCUAUAUUGCCUGCAAGACACGACUGGAGAAUUCUUAGUGUAAGAAUUGUUUGUUUCCUCUCUCCUUCUUUCCCACGUUUUCCCAGGGAAGUCAGUCUUGCAUUUUAAUGCAUACUAUAUACAUAUCUCGUUUAGCUUACUGAACCACUUGUUUUAACAGAAUAAAACUGUGCAAAAUUUUAAUUUUCCUCCUUUGCCUGAACUGAAAUAGCACAUCCAGGUUUAGCCCUUGUAGACUUUCCUUCCUCGAAGCAGAAAGUUGCCCUUGAUGAUUUCCUCUUUGAGCUCUCUGCCAGCUCUGAAACCCACAAAAUUUAUGUUUGCAAAACUAAGCCAUGCAAUCCUCUUUUUAUGCAGGCUCUAGCCUGAGUCAUUUUCCCUAAGAGAUCUUCAGCUCCACCUGGGAUGUGAUUCUUUGCUCUCUGGGAUUGAAGGUAGCUGAAGAGAAAUAGUUACACUUCAGGAUGUCAGAGGAUGGGAGAACCUCACAGACAUUCUUUUAUGGAUGAGAACCCUGUGGCCAGCUGAUCUGAGUAAACUGGCUUGCCUAACCACACAGUGCAGAUCUGGUCUUCUGACCCCGGGGGCUUUCCUUCCAUCACCAGGCUUUCUCCUACUCCCAAUGAAGGAAAGUAAGACUGGGUGGUAAAUCCAUCAAAUGAAUGAUUAAUUAAUCCAUCCAUAAGCACUCAAAAAUGUUCUGCAUGUACACAAAGUGCAGAAAAGUGCAAAACUGCACAAAAACUGCACACAAAGUAUAGAAAAUACUUUGCAGUUUGGGGAACUCAUUGUUCUUAGGCAGAAAUAUCCUGAUGGUUAGUCCUUGAAAUAGACAGACAAGGAGACACGUAGAAGAGUUUGAAUUCCCUUUGCAUAACCAGUGAUGAAAUGUGGUUGAUGAGAAGUCUGAAAAUAACUGCGGAGAUGUUUCAGCCCUUCCACUGUACUUUUAUAGUACUUGCUGCCAAUUUUACCGACUCAUUUUCAUUGAGAACUUCACUUAAUCUCACUUGUGUGUUUACCUGUUAAUCUUUCCUGUUGGAUUGGGUUUUUUGUCUGUUUUUUUCCUCUCUCAACCCUUUCCACAAUUAUCAGCACAUAAUAGGCACUUAAUACCUUUUGAGUCAAUGAAUACUUUAUAAAACUAUGAGUGCAACCAAAUAUUUCACUGGUGUUCAAGAGAUGAAAUCUGUCACUGAAAACUCUUUCUAGGGGCCAGGCAGUGAGUGUUUCAUGAUGCUGAGAUUGGUAAGAAAAUACAAAUCCAUCAUGACUGGAAAGGCACCACUCGACCGCAAGUUCUAGCAGUCUAACCAGUGAUUAGCUAUCUCUGCACCACCAGAAAAUCUCACCAGGAGGAGAGAUAGCUGAGAAGCAGAAACCAGAUACAGAAGUUUGGAAACUAGCUAGCAUUUUUUUAAAAGACUGGAUUCUACGAUGAUUCAGAAUAUACUUCAUCAUGCGAUGAGGUUGUUGAUAGUUUUCCUUGCAUACAGAGGCUGAAUAACUUUUUAAAACAAAUUCCUCAAAAUGUUUAUUUCCCAGGAAAGAGAUAGGUUAAGAUACAUGAUAGCAAGUAAAAUUGAGAAUAAUUCAGAGAAACUUAUUUUAUGCAUAUGAAAUGGUAAAAAGAGCAAUGAAACCAUUACCCAAAAUUCAGGUAAAAGGCAAAGUAUGAGAAAAGGCCAGAGGGAAUUAGGAGUUAGUAGGAACACAGAGUUCUGGAGGAAAAGGAAAAAAGUGACUCAGCAGAACCUAAGAAACAUCUGGCUGGGUAUAGUUAGUCAUGGAAAAAUUGGCAGUCAUGAUUAUGCAUUUUGUGAAAAUAGCAAUAUACUAGUCCAACAGUUCAUUUAGACCAAAAUUAAACAGUUGAAAGUCAGUAUGAUAAAAUCUAUUAUCCUGGUCAUUCAAAAUACUUCUAUCAACUGUCUAGAACAGCUUACAAGAAGCUUUGCUAAAUGAGUUAUCACAUAGCACCAGUAUUCUGAAAAAUGUAACUUUAGAGAAAAACCUUCCAAUUCAAGUCUUAGACUGGGAUUGGUAUUUUCAGCAGACAUCUAUUUUUAUAAACGUAAAGCUUAUCAAACUACCUUUCAACUUUCAUUUUGAUGAACAGUAAAUAUUAUUUUAUUAUCUACAUACAAUGGUGACAAAAUAGAUAAAUAAUAAAUAUGAAUUGUGGGUAUUAUUUUAGUAACAAAAAGUCAUUUAAAAUGAAAACCCUUAACCUAUGUUCUUAUUAAUAUAAUAUUUAUGUGAUUUAAAAUUUUGUAUAUGGUAUCAUUUACUUAAGCAUCUCUUAAUUCCUCAUUUCUGUAACUCUUUAUACCUGACAUAUGUACUAAAUUUGAUGAACAGAAAUUCAUUCAUUCAACAAAUGCUUGAAUGUCCACCAGAUACUGGGUUCUUUGCUAGACUCUGGAUGUACAGAGUAAAACAAAGAAGUCCCUUUCCUGUUAAACAUAUCAUCAUUCCUACUUAUGUCCAGAUUUUAUGUUUGUUUGUUUGUUUUUUGAGACAGAGUUUCGCUCUUGUUGCCCCAGGCUGGAGUGCAAUGGCACAAUCUCGGCUCACUGCAACUCCACCUCCCAGGUUCAAAGCAAUUCUCCUGCCUCAGCCUCCUGAGUAACUGGGAUUACAGGCAUGUGCCACCAUGCCCAGCUAAUUUUGUAUUUUUAGUACAUACAGGUUUAUCUAUGUUGGUCAGGCUGGUCUCAAACUCCCGACCUCAGGUGAUCCGCCUGCCUCUGCCCCCCAAAGUGCCGGGAUUACAGGUGUGAACCACCAUGCCCGGCAGAUUUUAUGGUUUGAAUGAUUUUCUGUCAGCAUUUGAAUUGGAUAUAAAACAAUCUUAACAGUGUUGUUUAUUUACAAAUUUCAUUCUGUCCUCCCCCCAAAAAGAUUUAGGUGUGUCAUGAUCAGUUCAUCAAAUAGGUAUCUUUAACUCAGAAAAUGACUUACAGGUUUAAAAUAUACAUUCUCUAUCAGUUUGAACGUAUUGAUGAACUCUCAAAGUUUUGAAUAUGGAAAAAAUAUAUGAAGCUCAACAAGAAAGACAGCUUUAUAAAAAGGCAAGUCUAGCAGAAAAGAUAACCAAGUAGGAGGAGAUUCCUCACGUAAGGAAAAAAACAAGUAAAAUAAUCAGCUUAAAAGCAUGUGUGCAAGAUAUUUCAUUGUUAUUUUUAUGUUUGUUUGUUGACAUUUUAUAGCCUAGUUAACAGAUGCUCCAAAUUUUGAGCCUGUAACCCUUCCAAUCCCUUGCUGCCUUUGAUGGUGAUGCUCCAUCCUAUUAUACCAACUCCACAUUGAAGCAGAACUCUCAAGACAGAGCUGAUGUCAUGAUGUCAGUGGAAAAGCAAAUGAUCAUUUGGGAAUAUCCAGUGAUCUCAAUACCAGUCUAUUACUUGCUGCCAGUGAAAAUGGCCAAAAAAUAUUGUUCUAGCAUCCUAUAGGUAUUAACUGAAUGCUCACAACAACCUUCUGAGAGAUGGGGAGGGAUGGAUGGGCUGUGAGGCCCCCCAGCCAAGAAGCUGGAAGAACUUUCUCGAAUCCUGCAGAGCUGCUCAGGGGCCUGCCUUGUAUCUGCCUGGCUGUUCCAGGGAGGUUGGAAGACAAACUGAAGGCUUUCCAUUGCUGAACAUCAGACCUCAGAAGUACUGACUGGAGGGCUCCCAAGCUGGCUCAGAUCAGCCUCAUAUUGCCCCGAACAGUAUCAUCACCGCUUUGCCCUGGUGGGGAAACUACUCUUUACCCUCUGUAUGAACCUAUGAAGCACGCAGGUCACUGGGGCAAUUUCUGAGUUUGAAGUUGCUUGGAUUUGCCAUUGCUGCUAUGUUGAAGGGAAGGGAGUGCUUUUGAAGAAAAUGUUCAUCUCUAGUUCCAGUAACAGGCAUGGAAUUGACACAUAACAGGUGUUUGUUGAAUUGAGCUGAAUAAAUUAGAAUCUGGGGCAAAAUAUAGUUGUUCUUUAUAGUCCUAAGUCUAUUAAUAAAGCAGAUAUAUCCUUAUUACAUGUUUUACUGCCAUAAAUGUGUCUACCAGAACUAGGAAUAAUGACAGACGGAAGGGUUGAGGAUUCUUUCUGACGAUAACCUGCCAGGACACCCGCUUCCUCCCUCCCUGUCCAGAUGGGGUGGACUACAGUGCUCUGGCUCACACCAGGGGUGGAGGUAUUCCCAUUAUUUGUCUGUUUUGUUGUCUGUAGUGCUUAGUCAGAAUGCUGCCUGAUACAUUGCAGGGGUUCAAUGACUUUCUGUGGAAUGAAUGAACAGACAGAUGGUUACUUACCCCAGGGACAUAAGAGCCUCACAUAGCUGCAGCGUGAGCAGUGCCCUCUGCAGUCCUGGACCCAGAUGCAUAGAGGCCGAGAUGUUCAGCCUUCCACCCCAUGGCCAUCCCGGAGCCUGGGGCUGACUCUGUCUGGUUUGGCUGCU
rnacentral:lncRNA from 10 species